rnacentral:rRNA from 1 species
UACGUAGGGGGCGAGCGUUGUCCGAAGUUACUGGGCGUAAAGCGCGCGUAGGCGGUUCCUUAAGUCUGGUGUGAAAGGUUCAGGGCUCAACCCGAAGAGUGCACUGGAUACUGGGGAACUUGAGUAUGGGAGGGGAGAGCGGAAUUCCGAGUGUAGAGGUGAAAUUCGUAGAUAUUCGGAGGAACACCAGUGGCGAAGGCGGCUCACUGGUCCAUUACUGACGCUGAGGCACGAAAGCGUGGGGAGCAAACAGG